UAGGGAAUUUUCGUCAAUGGGCGCAAGCCUGAACGAGUAAUGCCGCGUGAGUGAGGAAGGUCUUCGGAUCGUAAAGCUCUGUUGCGGGGGAAAAAGGAAGCAGAAAGGAAAUGGUCUGCUUUUGAUGGUACCCCGCCAGAAAGUCACGGCUAACUACGUGCC
rnacentral:rRNA from 1 species